CUUACCCUCUUGAGUUAGGAUGACUUUAAGGAGACAGUACCCUAAACCUGGUUGAUGAAUCAUACCCGUGCGAUCUGAGUGUGAUUAACGGCUACGACUGUCUUCGGACUCUCCGCGCUGUAGAGGAUCGCACGGCUGUCUGACAUGCG
rnacentral:snoRNA from 1 species